GCACCGGAAAACAGGUUACGCUUGCCCUCCGAAGGCAGAGGUCGUAGGUUCGAAUCCUACCGGUUGCGCCA
rnacentral:tRNA from 1 species